GCCACAUUACGUUGAAACACCCUUUCCCAUACAAUCGUGGAAGUUAAGCAACGUCGAGCCUGAUCAAUACCAUGAUGGUGGAAGGCUUGGGAAUAUCAGCUGUUGUAAU